UACGAAGGGGGCUAGCGUUGUUCGGAAUCACUGGGCGUAAAGGGCGCGUAGGCGGCUUGACAAGUCAGGUGUGAAAGCCCCGGGCUCAACCCGGGAAUUGCACUUGAUACUGUCUCGCUAGAGUCCGGGAGAGGAUGGCGGAAUUCCCAGUGUAGAGGUGAAAUUCGUAGAUAUUGGGAAGAACACCGGUGGCGAAGGCGGCCAUCUGGACCGGUACUGACGCUGAGGCGAGAAAGCGUGGGGAGCAAACAGG
rnacentral:rRNA from 1 species